UACGUAGGGGGCUAGCGUUGUCCGGAAUCAUUGGGCGUAAAGCGCGUGUAGGCGGUCCGGUAAGUCCGCUGUGAAAGUCGGGGGCUCAACCCUCGGAUGCCGGUGGAUACUGUCGGGCUUGAGUACGGAAGAGGCGAGUGGAAUUCCUGGUGUAGCGGUGAGAUGCGCAGAUAUCAGGAGGAACACCUAUGGCGAAGGCAGCUCGCUGGGACGUUACUGACGCUGAGACGCGAAAGCGUGGGGAGCGAACAGG
rnacentral:rRNA from 1 species